GAAGUGGAUGUCCUGGUUGCUUUUGUCUUCAGCCCAGUCCAGAGUCAACUUCUGUGUUAACACUGUUUUCCCGAUGCCAGCCACUCCCUGUGUCAUCACUGUUCUGAUUGGUCCAUCUCUUCCAGCAGGUGAAAUGUUGCCACGGCAACAGCAACAAACACUCUGGAUGAAACCCGACAACAAGGACCGAACACACAGCAGAGUUAAACUCAUCAUGCAGGACCCUCCUCUGUCCAGACUGAGUCGAGGCUGUGGUCAUCUGGUUUCAUCCCACGGAUGUCUGGACGUUUGCUUCACUCCUCAGCAGGAUUACUACAUCUGGAGGGAUCAGUAUUCUCUACUGUGUUUGUCAAACAGUCUGAUGGGAACAGAAUCAACGCUUCCAAAGACGUACAGUACUAGAAGAGGAGCUCUACUGCUGUACUCACAGCAUUUGAUUUCCAUGGAAAGCAGCCGUUGCCCAGGAAACAGAAACAGGAGACAGAGAGCAGCUCAGGGAUCCUGUCAGCAGGUGAAGCAGCAACUGAGCAUGCUCAAAGACCUGACAGCGGCCAUUUUGAAGCACAGCAACAACCAGUUCUUCUCCUCCAGGCCUCCAGUCCUUCCUCCUCUGAACCUCCCUGCAGCCUCCAGAACCCUGAACACUAAAUAUCAGCAGCUCGGUCCAGAGAGAAACACCGAACAACCAGAGAAGCAAUCUGAAGUUCUAAAAUAGUGAUGGUGAGAUGAAGCCUCAUGAAGCAUUGAACCACUUGAACCAAUUGGUUCGAGAAAGGGUUCAUUUCUUGAAGCUUCAUGAGCACACGAAACCACCUACUGGUCAAGUGUAUAAUCACAGGCAGCUGUAUCUGAACCACAUGCCUGAUGCAUUGAGAGGGGUCUGGCUGCAGACCUCCACUCUCAGGACCCUUCCUCGCAGACCUGCACUGUGAGGUCUCCUCCACUCUCAGGACCGGAAGUUUAUUCGACGGAAGCACGUAUUUAGCGUUUCCCAUGUAAGCACGUAUUUAGCGUUUCGAAUUUAUCCCUCCAGUAAACUGCUGAAAAAAAGAUUUAAUAUUGAACAAAACAACUGUGUAUUUUGUGAAAACGACAUUGAAACCACUGAACAUCUUUUUUACCAAUGCAUUUAUACAAAGACAUUCUGGGAAGACCUCUGGGACUGGUUGUCUUCAAAAAUCCAGCUACAGAACGCUUUGGACUGGGACAUUGUUGUCUUUGGCCUUUUACAGAAAGACUCUGAAACUAAAAUUGUGAUAAAUAGUAUACUACUGUUGGCAACAUUUUUUUUAUCCAUACUUGUAAAUGGCGUAAGGUAAAGCCCAUUUUCACAGUUUUCAAGAGACAAAUGCAAGAUAACUAUGUAAAAUCUUUGAAACUAAUGUUAUGUAAAAAUGCUCUUUUUCUGAUGCAAGCACUUGAAAAUGUACAAAUAUUUGAAGACCUCUAACAUACAAUGUUGCACGUGUGUGUGGGUGUAUGUGUGUGUCUUUAUUUUGCUUGUUUUAUUUUAUUUGUGCCUUGUAAACCGCAAUUUUGUUUUUGUUUAUAAUGUAAAACCAAAUAAGCCAAAAUGUUUGUAAAUUUUGAAACUGUUAAUAAAAAAAAACGUAUUUAGCGUUUCCCACGUGAAGUACGGAGACAACAAAGUGAGUAAAAGUCAAGCAACAACUUUUUGUUAUACGAAGAAACAGAAACAGCCUUUAUUCACUAGAACAUUACGUUGCACACUAUACAUCGCCCUGUUAAGUUAUGUUAAUUUGAAAGAAUCGAGUUUUGGACUUUGUAGCGUUGUUAUCGUAGUUCGGCUAACGGUGGCUAGAGCUAACCAGGUUGAUUCACUCGGUUGAUUAGCCUCUAAAGACACUCUGUAUUAUUUAGAUAUAUAUGGGAUUAGCUUGACAUUAGAAGGCUUUCACUGUCGUUUGCAAACAGCAUUUGCACAAAAAUUAUUUUGCCCCGGGCAUUUUGAUCCAUAUAAGCGGUUGAUAAGUAACGUUAUCCAUGAUCACUACAACGUUAACUGGUUUCCACUGUAUAAUAACUUGUUGAAGUCGUCUUGUGCACGCGAUAGUGCUCACUAAAAUGUGCCAUUGUCCUGCUAGAAGACCAAAACAACUGAGUCACCAUAUAUAUUUUUGUAUAAUUUUGUUUGACGUAUUACGACAUAAUUUUUCUCUUGCAGAUGCAUAUUUCAGUCCUAACAGCCGGCAGCACGCCCAAAAUUGAACGCUGCGAGACAUUCUGCAAACAAUUCCACUGUCCGCUGUGCCUAAAGUUUAAACCUGCCAAACUGUCCAAGCUGCAGAGCCACUUGGAGGCACACAGAAAAGGUGGCAUUUUAUUUAAAGAAACCUUUGCCAGUCAAUUAAUCCCGGAGUGUGGAAUGAGAAGACUGGCUUAGACAUACAGGUAAAUGUAUGAUGAUGACGAUGAUGAUAAUGAUAGUGAUGACAGUCAUCAACUAUCAACUCUCUUCUGUUUGACUUGUUAGGGAUUUCCACGACAGCCCUAUGGGCAGGACUGUGGCAUCUUCAUGCUGAUGGUAAAUAAAAUAAUUUGUCAGAUCUAUUUCAUUAUGUCCUUUAAAUGUAUAUUAAAAUUAAGUCAUUCUUUUGUUUGUAGUAUGCCCUUUACACAGUUCUGGACGCUCCAUAUGAUUUCACCAUAGUGAGUUCACCUGCUCAUUCAAAAAAAGAUUGUAAAUUUAUUAUGUUUGAUCUUUUAUGAAAUCAGUAUGUCUGUAUGUUUUUGUAGACUGACAUGCCAACCCUGCGAAAAUGGUGGUGUGUCAUGCUCAUUGAAAACUGUGAUCUUGGAAGGCAGGACAUUAUAAUGUGAUUGACUAUUUGAUAUGCACAUUGUAAUGUCAUCUGUCUUGUUGUCUUCCCAUUCUCGUGCUUGUUGCCAGAAUUGCCUAAAAUUGACUGACUGGUCCAGACUGUUGCUGGGCAGCACCUGUAAAUUUAAUUGUUUUACGCUUUUUACCAAUUAUUAUAGCCAUGGCAAAAUGUUUGCCCAUUGGACACACAUGUCAAAAGCCCUUCUGGCAGGUGAAGUGCCACCAGUUUUUAGACUGAAGCGAAAACUGGAUGAGAUGACUGAGGCUGAGGAGAGGAAGAAAAUGUGCCACCAGGUAGAGACAACGGAACCAGCUCACCAGGUGGAGACAACUGAAGAAGAGACCAGGAUGGUGGGCCAAGUUGUGGCCCACUGCAAACAAGCAGCGGAAUGGGUGCAGAGGAACCCACAACUGUUUACAGCCAGGGUGGAGAUGCCAGAAAUUUUAAACAUGGACAGCAGAUCUAUUGAGGAGGCUCAACAGCAACUGGCAAACUUGUUCGAUGCCACCCAGGACAUUGAUGAAGAUGAGAAAGAAUUUAUUCUGGAGCCCUUCAAGUUUUUCUUUUACAACAUUGAGGAUAUGUUUGUCUUCUGUGAAGAGGUUAUGGAUAACCGACGCUACAUGGCAUAUUGUGAAUUCAAAGACAAAUAAAAUGUUUGAAAGUUUGUUUUGUGUCUACUGUUUCCUCCUGUAACAGAGGUUAUUGGCUCUCUGGGUCAUGUAACUAGGUAUUCAGUAAUUCAGUGAAUUGAAUACACAAAACUUAAUCAAAAAAUUAAUCAACCCUUACAUCCUCCAUUGGCAAAUCCAUGUGGUCUGACAGCACAAGGUAAGAACAUAGCACAAACAAUACUUAAGCUUCACGGGCCCGUAUUCGGGCCGAAAAUGGCCGGCUGAAGUUUAACGGCAAAAGCAUUUUUAGCUUCAAACGGGACGAUAGAAACACUAUACAUCCAUGGAAAGCUUAGAGUCUCAUGAAUCCGCCGGUAUAAACCACUUUCAGAUGUGAUUACCACAGCGGGUGAUAUAAACACAUUUCUAAAACAAACAACAAAAGCUUAAAGGGACACAUAAAGGGCAUAACUUACGUUUCGAUGGUCUUUUACCGGUCAACGAUGAAAAUAAUCCACAAAAACCGGCCAUAAUCCAAGAGUAGUCAUCCAGACAAUACUAGCAAGUAUCAUAUUUUGUCCAAAACAUGUCUAGAAAUAAGUAAAUAAUCCAUAAAUAGCUCGGCUUCGUGCGCGUCCACGUGGCGC